CUUCUAUGAGAACAAUUAGUGGCAGACGGGUGAGUAAUGCAUAGGAAUCUACCUAGUAGUAUAGGAUAGCCACUAGAAAUGGUGGGUAAUACUGUAUAAUCCCUGCGGGGGAAAGAUUUAUCGCUACAUGAUGAGCCUAUGUUAGAUUAGCUAGUUGGUGGGGUAAUGGCCUACCAAGGCAGUGAUCUAUAGCUGGUCUGAGAGGAUGAUCAGCCACACUGGAACUGAGACACGGUCCAGACUCCUACGGGAGGCAGCAGUGGGGAAUAUUGGACAAUGGGCGCAAGCCUGAUCCAGCUAUGCCGCGUGAGUGAGGAAGGCCUUAGGGUUGUAAAACUCUUUCAGUGGGGAAGAUAAUGACGGUACCCACAGAAGAAGUCCCGGCAAACUCCGUGCCAGCAGCCGCGGUAAUACGGAGGGGGCAAGCGUUGUUCGGAAUUAUUGGGCGUAAAGGGCAUGUAGGUGGUUUGGUAAGUUAAAGGUGAAAUGCCAGGGCUUAACCCUGGAGCUGCUUUUAAUACUGCCAGACUGG
rnacentral:rRNA from 1 species